GUAGAAACUAGGGCCUGUAGGACCUGCCUUGUUGAUAGUGUUGUUAAGAAGGUAGAAACUAGGGCCUGUAGGACCUGCCUUGUUGAUAGUGUUGUUAAGAAGGUAGAAACUAGGGCCUGUAGGACCUGCCUUGUUGAUAGUGUUGUUAAGAAGGUAGAAACUAGGGCCUGUAGGACCUGCCUUGGUGAUAGUGUUGUUAAGAAGGUAGAAACUAGGGCCUGUAGGACCUGCCUUGUUGAUAGUGUUGUUAAGAAGGUAGAAACUAGGGCCUGUAGGACCUGCCAUGUUGAUAGUGUUGUUAAGAAGGUAGAAACUAGGGCCUGUAGGACCUGCCUUGUUGAUAGUGUUGUUAAGGUAGAAACUAGGGCCUGUAGGACCUGCCUUGUUGAUAGUGCUGUUAAGAAGGUAGAAACUAGGGCCUGUAGGACCUGCCUUGUUGAUAGUGCUGUUGAGAAGGUAGAAACUAGGGCCUGUAGGACCUGCCUUGUUGAUAGUGUUGUUCAGAAGGUAGAAACUAGGGCCUGUAGGACCUGCCUUGUUGAUAGUGUUGUUAAGAAGGUAGAAACUAGGGCCUGUAGGACCUGCCUUGUUGAGUGAUGUUAAGAAGGCAUCGCAGCGCUUUAUUAUGGACAGACUUCACCAUCUUGGCGACAGGGUAGCCUAGCGGUUAGAGCGUUGGGCCAGUAACCGAAAGGUUGCUAGAUUGAAUCCCCGAACUGACAAGGUAAAAAUCUGCCGUUCUGCCCCUGAACAAGGCAGUUAACCCACUGUUCCUAGGCCGUCAUUGUAAAUAAGAAUUUGUUCUUAACUGACUUGCCUAGUUAAAUAAAGGUUAAAUAAAAA
rnacentral:lncRNA from 1 species